UAUGAUUCAAGUGUUUCUUGGUCAUAGUGGAGGCCAUGAUGUUGAAGGGAAUGAGCUUCCUCGCCUUGUUUAUGUCUCUCGUGAGAAAAGGCCUGGAUUUGCACAUCACAAGAAAGCCGGUGCCAUGAAUGCCCUGGUAAACUAAAUAAACUGUCAAAACAACCUUAAACUUUUUAUAUUCACUCACCCUAGCAAGUAGCAAUAACUAAUAUAACUUGUUUGGAAUUUCUCAGAUUCGAGUCUCCGCCGUACUCACCAAUGCACCUUUCAUGCUGAACUUGGAUUGUGAUCAUUAUAUAAAUAACAGCAAGGCCGUCCGAGAAGCCAUGUGUUUCUUGAUGGAUCCUCAGAUUGGAAAGAAAGUUUGCUAUGUAC
rnacentral:lncRNA from 1 species